rnacentral:rRNA from 1 species
UGCGUAGGCGGGUUUCUAAGUCAGAGGUGAAAGCCUGGAGCUCAACUCCAGAACUGCCUUUGAUACUGGAAGUCUUGAGUAUGGCAGAGGUGAGUGGAACUGCGAGUGUAGAGGUGAAAUGCUUAGAUAUCACACAGAAUAUCGAUUGCGAAGGCAGCUCACAAAGCCAUUAUUGAGCUGAGGCACGAAGUGUGGGAUCAAAC